rnacentral:pre_miRNA from 1 species
ACAACAUCCCCAGGACCGUCGGUCUACCGAGCAAUAUCAGCCGCUCGGUGGAAGAUCUUCCGUUUGUCGUUAAGA